GACGAACGCUGGCGGCGUGCUUAACGCAUGCAAGUCGAACGGAAAGGCCCUGCUUUUGUGGGGUGCUCGAGUGGCGAACGGGUGAGUAACACGUGGGUAACCUGCCCUUGACUUUGGGAUAACUUCAGGAAACUGGGGCUAAUACCGGAUAGGAGCUCCUGCUGCAUGGUGGGGGUUGGAAAGUUUCGGCGGUUGGGGAUGGACUCGCGGCUUAUCAGCUUGUUGGUGGGGUAGUGGCUUACCAAGGCUUUGACGGGUAGCCGGCCUGAGAGGGUGACCGGCCACAUUGGGACUGAGAUACGGCCCAGACUCCUACGGGAGGCAGCAGUGGGGAAUAUUGCACAAUGGGCGGAAGCCUGAUGCAGCAACGCCGCGUGCGGGAUGACGGCCUUCGGGUUGUAAACCGCUUUCGCCUGUGACGAAGCGUGAGUGACGGUAAUGGGUAAAGAAGCACCGGCUAACUACGUG
rnacentral:rRNA from 1 species